rnacentral:rRNA from 1 species
GACGAACGCUGGCGGCGUGCCUAAUACAUGCAAGUAGAACGCUGAAGGAGGAGCUUGCUUCUCUGGAUGAGUUGCGAACGGGUGAGUAACGCGUAGGUAACCUGCCUGGUAGCGGGGGAUAACUAUUGGAAACGAUAGCUAAUACCGCAUAAUAUUGACUAUUGCAUGAUAGUCAGUUGAAAGGUGCAACUGCACCACUACCAGAUGGACCUGCGCUGUAUUAGCUAGUUGGUGGGGUAACGGCUCACCAAGGCGACGAUACAUAGCCGACCUGAGAGGGUGAUCGGCCACACUGGGACUGAGACACGGCCCAGACUCCUACGGGAGGCAGCAGUAGGGAAUCUUCGGCAAUGGACGGAAGUCUGACCGAGCAACGCCGCGUGAGUGAAGAAGGUUUUCGGAUCGUAAAGCUCUGUUGUAAGAGAAGAACGAGUGUGAGAGUGGAAAGCUCACACUGUGACGGUAUCUUACCAGAAAGAGACGGCUAACUACGUG